CAUACAUAUAUAAACCGAUAGCAGCAACGCUAAAAACAUUCUCAACUCGAAUUAACUGUACAGUUGUUCGUAGAUUUAUUACUCAAGUACUGUUAAGAAUCUAGCGACAAAAUGUUUGUUAGCUUGUUACUAUUUUUCGUAUUGGUUUACAUGCAGCAAGUUGGAGGUUUGCCAGCAGAGGCACUCUUGAAAGACUGUACUGGAUUAUGCAAGGAUUAUGUUUAUUCUGGCGACGAUUUUUGGGGAUGCCUUCGAUCCUGUAGUUCUUCUAAACAAAACACCUGGUUUGCAGCUUGACAGUGGUGACUUGGUACGUGACAGCGCUUUUCGGAUCUGUCGGAUACCUACGUUCUGUUUGUAGAUACAUUGUACCUAUUAUUACGUUCGCAAAUUCUUAUUUAAAAUAUAUACGAAAACAAACCAAUAUCACAGGACAUAAACGUUUUCAAUGUAUUUUGAUUGAAAUCUUGAACAUUAUGAUUGACAAUUGAAAGAUACAUGCAACACAAAGAUAUAAUCAUUGCUUGAUCUUACUUCAAGAUACAGAUACUUCUAAGAAUUACUUAGUUCAUAUUUAGAAAUGUUCUCUUUUCAAUGGAACGAAUUGAUAUGCUCUUGUUAUUUUCACAUUAAAUAGAUUUUAUAAUUCCAGACGGUAAAUGAAGCAGACGUCACACCAGUAGAUCUAAAUAUAAAAGUAAAUGAACCUUUAUGUUUUGCCUUAUAUUAUUGCAAUAAAAAUUGAUCACAAGUAA